CCAAAGUACCUCUGCACCUACUAUGACAUUGUUGACUACCUGAACAUCUCCUCUCAUGACAAGCUGUACACGUACAUCCUGCCCAAGAUAAACCCGAAGGAGCCUGUGGAAGUGAAGGUGGAUUUCUUUCUGGUGUCAAUUCUCUCUGUGGUGGAAAAGCUGCAGACAGUCAGUUUUUACUUCGUCCUGAACCUGGAAUGGCAGAACCCUUUUGCAACCUGGGACCCCUGGGAUUUCUGUAACAUCUCUGAAAUUGUUCUGCCCUUGGACACGUAUUGGUCGCCCCCCAUCUUCAUCUUGGAGCGAGUGAACGGGCAGGACCCAG
rnacentral:lncRNA from 1 species